AUUGAACGCUAACGGUAUGCUUAACACAUGCAAGUCGAACGGCAGCACAAUUGUAGCAAUACGAUGGGUGGCGAGUGGCGGACGGGUGAGUAAUGCAUAGGAAUCUGCCUUGUAGUGGGGGAUAACCCGGGGAAACUCGGGCUAAUACCGCAUAGUCUUUACGAAGCAAAGUGGGGGACCGUAAGGCCUCAUGCUAUAAGAUGAGCCUAUGUCGGAUUAGCUAGUUGGUAGGGUAAAAGCCUACCAAGGCAACGAUCCGUAGCUGGUCUGAGAGGAUGAUCAGCCACACUGGGACUGAGACACGGCCCAGACUCCUACGGGAGGCAGCAGUGGGGAAUAUUGGACAAUGGGCGCAAGCCUGAUCCAGCAAUACCGUGUGUGUGAAGAAGGCCUUAGGGUUGUAAAGCACUUUUAGUGGGAAAGAAAAGCUUAUGGUUAAUAUCCGUGAGUGCUGACGUUACCCACAGAAAAAGCACUGGCUAACUCUGUGCCAGCCGCCGCUGUAACAC
rnacentral:rRNA from 1 species